UACCAGCACCCCGAGUGGUCGGGACGUUUAUUGGGCCUAAAGCAUCCGUAGCCGGUUCUACAAGUCUUCCGUUAAAUCCAGCUGCUUAACAGAUGGGCUGCGGAAGAUACUAUGGAGCUAGGAGGCGGGAGAGGCAAGCGGUACUCGAUGGGUAGGGGUAAAAUCCGUUGAUCCAUUGAAGACCACCAGUGGCGAAGGCGGCUUGCCAGAACGCGCUCGGCGGUGAGGGAUGAAAGCUGGGGGAGCAAACCGG
rnacentral:rRNA from 1 species